CCUACGGGAGGCAGCAGUGGGGAAUUUUGCGCAAUGCUCGUAAGAGUGACGCAGCGACGCCGCGUGAAUGACGAAGGCCUUCGGGUCGUAAAGCUCUUUCGACAGGGAAGAAAAUGCCUAUAAGUAACUGUGUAUGUAUUGACGGUACCUGUAUAAGCAGCCCCGGCUAACUCCGUGCCAGCAGUCGCGGUAAUACGGAGGGGGCGAGCGUUGUUCGGGGUGACUGGGCGUAAAGAGCACGUAGGCGGUGUUGUAAGUCAUUAGUCAAAGACUAGAGCUCAACUUUAGUAAGGCUAGUGAUACUAUGAUACUAGAGUAUCAGAGAGGAUUGCAGAAUUCCUGGUGUAGCGGUGAAAUGCGUAGAUAUCAGGAGGAAUACCGUUGGCGAAGGCGGCAAUCUGGCUGGAAACUGACGCUGAGGUGCGAAAGCGUGGGUAGCAAACAGGAUUAGAUACCCUUGUAGUC
rnacentral:rRNA from 1 species